GCAAUCGUGCCACCAUCUCCUACAGCCGUAUAAGCGAGAUUAAGAGAGUUCGUCUCUAUAAAACGUCGAGCGUUGAGAUACAAAACAGAAGACGGCAAAUCAGUUUGCCUUCGUUUCGGAAAAGGUUGUUCGGGAAGUGUCUGCAAAGACCCAACACAGUUUCUCCACUGUUUUAAAUAUGCAAUCAAUAUCAGUCACUGCAAAAGAUCGUGUUCGACUAGAAGAACAAGAGGACUGAUAGAUUUGGGUUUGGUUUGGAGAGUAAACGAUUGCAG
rnacentral:lncRNA from 1 species